UCCAGUUUUCCCAGGAAU
rnacentral:ncRNA from 2 species